UUUUUUGAGAGUUUGAUCCUGGCUCAGGAUGAACGCUGGCGGCGUGCCUUAGGCAUGCAAGUCGAACGGUUCCGCAUUGCGGGACAGUGGCGGAAGGGUGAGUAACGCGUGGGAACGUACCAUUUGGUUCAGCAUAGCCUUCCGAAAGGAGGGGUAAUACUGCAUAAUCUCGCAAGAGAAAAGGGCUUAACCGCCCGCCGAAUGAGCGGCCCGCGUCCUAUCAGCUUGUUGGUGGGGUAAUGGCCUACCAAGGCAAUGACGGGUAGCUGGGCU
rfam:Candidatus Curtissbacteria bacterium RIFCSPLOWO2_01_FTLL_42_26 rifcsplowo2_01_scaffold_6457, whole genome shotgun sequence.